rnacentral:rRNA from 1 species
CCUACGGUGUGCAGCAGUGGGGAAUAUUGGACAAUGGGCGAAAGCCUGAUCCAGCCAUGCCGCGUGUGUGAAGAAGGCCUUCGGGUUGUAAAGCACUUUCAGUGGGGAAGAAAGCCUUGGGGCUAAUACCCUCGAGGAAGGACAUCACCCACAGAAGAAGCACCGGCUAACUCCGUGCCAGCAGCCGCGGUAAUACGGAGGGUGCGAGCGUUAAUCGGAAUUACUGGGCGUAAAGCGCGCGUAGGCGGUCUGAUAAGCCGGUUGUGAAAGCCCCGGGCUCAACCUGGGAACGGCAUCCGGAACUGUCAGGCUAGAGUGCAGGAGAGGAAGGUAGAAUUCCCGGUGUAGCGGUGAAAUGCGUAGAGAUCGGGAGGAAUACCAGUGGCGAAGGCGGCCUUCUGGACUGACACUGACGCUGAGGUGCGAAAGCGUGGGUAGCAAACAGGAUUAGAUACCCCAGUAGUC